rnacentral:lncRNA from 1 species
UCAUUAUAUUGAUUGAUAUUGUAGUAUCAUCAAUACAUGUGGUAUUGUAGUACCACAUGUGGUAUCGUAGUUCCGUUGAUUCAUAGAUUGAGGUUGUAGCAUCAAUCUGAGUGGUAUUGUAGUACCACUGAAUCGCCGAUGAGUAAUAGAUUGAUGUCGUAGCAUCAAUUCGAGUGGUAUUGUAGUACCAUUCAAGAAGGUGUAUUCUUUGACCGAUUUCUACCGUGCAGUAGCAUAUCGG